rnacentral:rRNA from 1 species
ACUCCUACGGGAGGCAGCAGUGGGAAUCUUGCGCAAUGGGCGAAAGCCUGACGCAGCCAUGCCGCGUGAAUGAUGAAGGUCUUAGGAUUGUAAAAUUCUUUCACCGGGGACGAUAAUGACGGUACCCGGAGAAGAAGCCCCGCUGAACUUCAGUGCCAGCCAGCCGCGGGUAAUACGAAGGGGCGUAGCGUUGCUCGGAAUUACUGGGCGUAAAGGGAGCGUAGGCGGACAUUUAAGUCAGGGGUGAAAUCCCGGGGCUCAACCUCGGAAUUGCCUUUGAUACUGGAUGUCUUGAGUGUGAGAGAGGUAUGUGGAACUCCGAGUGUAGAGGUGAAAUUCGUAGAUAUUCGGAAGAACACCAGUGGCGAAGGCGACAUACUGGCUCAUUACUGACGCUGAGGCUCGAAAGCGUGGGGAGCAAACAGGAUUAGAUACCCU